rnacentral:rRNA from 1 species
GCUCAGUAACCCGUGGAUAACCUGCCCUGCGGUGGGAAAUAACCCCGGGAAACUGGGGAUAAUGUCCCAUAGGCUACGGAUACUGGAAUGUUCUGUAGUUGAAAGAUUUAUCGCCGCAGGAUGGGUCUGCGCCCGAUUAGGUUGUUGUUGGGGUAACGGCCCAACAAGCCCUUGAUCGGUACGGGUUGUGGGAGCAAGAGCCCGGAGAUGGAUUCUGAGACACGAAUCCAGGCCCUACGGGGCGCAGCAGGCGCGAAAACUUUACAAUGCGGGAAACCGUGAUAAGGGAACUCCGAGUGUCCGUAAAUGCGGACUGUCCGUAUGUUUAAAAAGCAUGCGAAGAAAGGGCCGGGCAAGACCGGUGCCAGCCGCCGCGGUAAUACCGGCGGCUCGAGUGGUGGCCACUAUUACUGGGCUUAAAGCGUUCGUAGCUGGGUUGUUAAGUCUCUUGGGAAAUCUACCGGCUUAACCGAUAGGCGUCCAAGGGAUACUGGCAUUCUAGGGACCGGGAGAGGUGAGGGGUACUUCAGGGGUAGGGAGUGAAAUCCUGUAAUCCCUGGGGGACCACCUGUGGCGAAGGCGCCUCACCAGAACGGCUCCGACAGUGAGGGACGAAAGCUGGGGGAGCAAACCGGAUUAGAUACCCGGGUAGUCCCAGCCGUAAACGAUGCGCGUUAGGUGUAUCGAUGACCACGAGUCAUCGAGGUGCCGAAGGGAAACCGUGAAACGCGCCGCCUGGGAAGUACGGUCGCAAGGCUGAAACUUAAAGGAAUUGGCGGGGGAGCAC